GAUGAACGCUAGCGGCAGGCUUAACACAUGCAAGUCGAGGGGUAUUUCUCUUCGGAUAGAGAGACCGGCGCACGGGUGCGUAACGCGUAUGCAAUCUUACUUUUACAGAGGGAUAGCCCAGAGAAAUUUGGAUUAAUACCUCAUAGUAUAUAGACUCGGCAUCGCGAUUAUAUUAAAGUCACAACGGUAAAAGAUGAGCAUGCGUCCCAUUAGCUAGUUGGUAAGGUUACGGCUUACCAAGGCUACGAUGGGUAGGGGUCCUGAGAGGGAGAUCCCCCACACUGGUACUGGGACACGGACCAGACUCCUACGGGAGGCAGCAGUGAGGAAGAGUGGACAAUGGGCGCAAGCCUGAUCCAGCCAUGCCGCGUGCAGGAUGACGGUCCUAUGGAUUGUAAACUGCUUUUAGACGAGAAGAAACACUGGUACGUGUAGCAGCUUGACGGUAUCGUAAGAAUAAGGAUCGGCUAACUCCGUG
rnacentral:rRNA from 1 species